GUCAGCAGAUAUUCCUGCCGGAAGUCUGGAACUCCAGAGCACAAGCCUGGGUAUGCAUUGGUAUGUCUGCCCCGGUCACGCGUCAUGCACGAGUCGGAUCCCCCCUGGGCCAGGAAGCCAACAUUUCAGGGUGUUGAAGCCCUAGCCCCCAGCACUUCAGGAUGUGACUGUAUUUGGAGACAAGUUCUUUAAAGAGGUGAUUAAGUUAGAGUGAGGCCCUUGGGGUGGGGCCCUAAUCCAAGAUGACUGGUGUUCUUAUAAGAAGAGGCGAUCAGGACACAGACACACACAGAGGGACGUGAGGACACAGAGAGAAGACGGCCGUCUACACGCCAAGGAGAGAGGUCUCAGGAGGAACCGACCCUGCCUGCACCUUGACCUCAGACCUCCAGCCU